rnacentral:rRNA from 1 species
ACGAACGCUGGCGGCGUGCCUAAUACAUGCAAGUAGAACGCUGAAGAGAGGAGCUUGCUCUUCUUGGAUGAGUUGCGAACGGGUGAGUAACGCGUAGGUAACCUGCCUUGUAGCGGGGGAUAACUAUUGGAAACGAUAGCUAAUACCGCAUAACAAUGGAUGACACAUGUCAUUUAUUUGAAAGGGGCAAUUGCUCCACUACAAGAUGGACCUGCGUUGUAUUAGCUAGUAGGUGAGGUAAUGGCUCACCUAGGCGACGAUACAUAGCCGACCUGAGAGGGUGAUCGGCCACACUGGGGCUGAGACACGGCCCAGACUCCUACGGGAGGCAGCAGUAGGGAAUCUUCGGCAAUGGGGGCAACCCUGACCGAGCAACGCCGCGUGAGUGAAGAAGGUUUUCGGAUCGUAAAGCUCUGUUGUAAGUCAAGAACGGGUGUGAGAGUGGAAAGUUCACACUGUGACGGUAGCUUACCAGAAAGGGACGGCUAACUACGUG